AUUGAACGCUGGCGGAAUGCUUUACACAUGCAAGUCGAACGGCAGCACGGACUUCGGUCUGGUGGCGAGUGGCGAACGGGUGAGUAACAUAUCGGAACGUAUCCAAUAAUGGGGGAUAACGAGUCGAAAGAUUCGCUAAUACCGCAUACGCCCUACGGGGGAAAGCUGGGGACCUUUGGGCCUGGCGUUAAUGGAGCGGCCGAUAUCUGAUUAGCUAGUUGGUGAGGUAAAGGCUCACCAAGGCGACGAUCAGUAGCUGGUCUGAGAGGACGACCAGCCACACUGGAACUGAGACACGGUCCAGACUCCUACGGGAGGCAGCAGUGGGGAAUUUUGGACAAUGGGCGCAAGCCUGAUCCAGCCAUUCCGCGUGAGUGAAGAAGGCCUUCGGGUUGUAAAGCUCUUUCGCAAGGGAAGAAAACUUAGCCACUAACAUUGGUUGAGGUUGACGGUACCUUGAUAAGAAGCACCGGCUAACUACGUGCCAGCCGCCGCGGUAAUAC
rnacentral:rRNA from 1 species